AUUGAACGCUGGCGGCAGGCCUAACACAUGCAAGUCGAGCGGAGCGGCGGACGGGUGAGUAAUGUCUGGGAAACUGCCUGGUAGUGGGGGAUAACGUCCGGAAACGGGCGCUAAUACCGCAUACUAUCAGAUGAGCCUAGGACGGAUUAGCUAGUUGGGGGGGUAAAGCCCUACCAAGGCGACGAUCCGUAGCCGGUCUGAGAGGAUGAUCAGUAACACGGGAACUGAGACACGGUCCAGACUCCUACGGGAGGCAGCAGUGGGGAAUAUUGGAAAAUGGGCGAACGCCUGAUCCAGCCAUGCCACGUGUGUGAAGAAGGUCUUCGGAUUGUAAAGCACUUUAAGUUAGGAGGCGUUACCAACAGAAUAAGCACCGGCUAACUUCGUGCCAGCAGCCGCGGUAAUAC
rnacentral:rRNA from 1 species